rnacentral:piRNA from 1 species
UAAACUGGAGCCUAAGGAAGGAUGCC